CCUACGGGGGGCUGCAGUGAGGAAUAUUGGUCAAUGGACGAGAGUCUGAACCAGCCAAGUAGCGUGAAGGAUGACUGCCCUAUGGGUUGUAAACUUCUUUUAUAUGGGAAUAAAAUGUUCCACGUGUGGGAUUUUGUAUGUACCAUAUGAAUAAGGAUCGGCUAACUCCGUGCCAGCAGCCGCGGUAAUACGGAGGAUCCGAGCGUUAUCCGGAUUUAUUGGGUUUAAAGGGAGCGUAGGUGGAUUGUUAAGUCAGUUGUGAAAGUUUGCGGCUCAACCGUAAAAUUGCAGUUGAAACUGGCAGUCUUGAGUACAGUAGAGGUGGGCGGAAUUCGUGGGGUAGCGGUGAAAUGCUUAGAUAUCACGAAGAACUCCGAUUGCGAAGGCAGUUCACUGGACUGCAACUGACACUGAGGCUCGAAAGUGUGGGUAUCAAACAGGAUUAGAUACCCCAGUAGUG
rnacentral:rRNA from 1 species